UACGGGGGGAGCAAGCGUUGUUCGGAUUUACUGGGCGUAAAGGGCGCGUAGGCGGGUCUUUAAGUCAGGGGUGAAAUCCUGGAGCUCAACUCCAGAACUGCCUUUGAUACUGAAGAUCUUGAGUUCGGGAGAGGUGAGUGGAACUGCGAGUGUAGAGGUGAAAUUCGUAGAUAUUCGCAAGAACACCAGUGGCGAAGGCGGCUCACUGGCCCGAUACUGACGCUGAGGCACGAAAGCGUGGGGAGCAAACAGG
rnacentral:rRNA from 1 species